UUGCAGCCAAUUACGCUGACUGCGCUCUUUUCCCACUUCCACACGGGGGCCUGGUGCGCAGUGGCUGCAAAUAGCACCCUCCUCGGUAGUGUACGCAGUCUGUUGCCUGCACAGGUUGCCCUCAGGGGCCUUGGAGAUAGCC
rnacentral:snoRNA from 1 species